GUUACUUGGAUCAUGGGAAAAAGGCUGCUGGCAGAUUUGCGUUUCCUGCACUCGUUAACAAUUUUAGUAUUUUUAAAAUAUUAAAAAUUAGGAUGCACGAGAAUAAUAAAAAGGUUUUUUAGUAUUUCGUGCUAACAUCAAUUGAAACUCCGUUCACGAAGCUUUAAUUUGAAAUUCGAAACGCUCAGUGAAUACAGCAAAAUGAAGAAUUUUCUUGUUUUCCAGUACUUCGUUCAAGCAACUGCGAACAAACUUGAAUCAAACAUCUGCAAAACCUUCUUAAUUGGCUACAAUUUUUUAUCGUUAUAUGCAGUAAUUCGUUGAAGCACUCAUGUAGCAGAAUAAAAUCAAGAAUUCGUUGAACUUAUUCAAUUGACCACAGUCAUUAAAAUGAAAACUUUAUGAAGUAAUUCAUUGAAACAGCAAGUGAACAAAGUUAAACACUUACAUAGCCAAUUCAAUGUUGGGCAUAGUCGUUGAAAUGCAAACACUAGGUAUCGAAUGAACUAAUAAAUUUUUCAGGUUACUUGGGACCCUAAAAACCACCGAGUGACAAAAGUAAGGUCAAUUAAAAAAUACUAUGGAAAUAGAAAGAAGCAAUUCCAUUAACUUUUUAGACUUUACACUCAUUAGAGAAAAUAAUCAUAUAAUCACUGACUGGUAUCAAAAACCUACUUCUUCCGACAGACUAAUUAAUUAUUUUUCAAAUCAUCCAAUUCAGCAAAAAAAAGAAUAUUGUGUACAACUUAGUUGAUAGAGCUAUUUCAUUGUCCAAUAAAAAAUUCCAUUUUGACAACUUGAAGAAAAUUAAAAAAAUUCUAAAAAACAAUAGGUAUCCUUUAGAUUUUAUCGAAAAACAUAUUGGUAUUAGAAUGAACAAAUUAAAAUAUUCGAAUGAGAAUAAUAUCAACAAAAAUAGAGUUAAUAUAUAUAGUCAAAUCCCCAAGGUCGCUUUGCCCUUUAACGAAAAAUAUUUCUUUAAGUUGUCAAAUGUUCUUAGGGAAUUUAAUUGUACUUCUAUUCCCAUCGUAAACAAAAACUCUAAUUCUAUUGUAAAAUUGGGAAAGGAUACAACUAAAAAAUGGGAUCUUUAUGGACUCGUGUCCAUAAAGAAAAUAAUAAAAUCAAUAUAACUUGUACCUCAUUUAAGAAUGUGUUUAUGUUUUGGUUCAUUGACUUCUCUCACGUGUUUGCUGGUUUGACUUUGUAAAAUGAAUAAAUUUCUUUUCAAUUGACAGUGAUUCGCUGUAUGAGAAUGUCUUCUCUCUAUUUUAAAUUUUAUUCUUAUAAGUGUGGAAUAAUUGUUUAUUAUAUUUUGACGAAAUUUUAAUCUUUGACGUGUUUGCAUGUGUUCGAUGUUAUAACAAAAUUUAGGUAUACAAGUAUAAUUAUUGUUAAUUUAUAGAAAUAGUGCUUUUAGACCUUUACAAAAAAAAAUACUGAAGUGUAACCUAUCUAUUUAAUAAAUUUUAGCCUGAUGAGGUUG